GUGAAACUCCGGGAGAAGGGGACGCCCCAGUGCUCGGCUUCCCCGCCCCGGACUCCGCGUUCGAGAUUGAGACCCCAGACUUCGCCCUGACCCUUUUUGUCGUGCACUGAGCUCUUUGUCACCUCGUCCCCCUGAGGCCUGGACAGAAGCUGUGAAGUCAGCGGUUCUCAAACGAUUCGGUUUCAGGAUCUUAUAUGCUGCUAGAAAUUAAUGAGGACUCCAAAGCUUUCAUUUUAUCAUUGGCAGAAUUACUCAGUGGAUUGUCUUGAAGGAACAGACUUGGCCAAAUAUCAAAUGUCAAAUGUAGAUGGCUGCUGGAUUUUAGCUGGCAUCACUGCGUUUUCCUUUCGGAUUUUGGGCACACACGCAAAAUGAGCCCAGUGUGAUUUUCCUGCUGCCAGGUCUGGAACUGGAACAGUGAAGCCGGCCAUCUGGGACCAACCACAUUACCUCCAUGCCACCUGAAGGCCCUGAGGUCAAUAAUUUGUAAUGCCCCAACCAGGAAAUGCUGGAGUGAAACUGACUUUUUUUUUCUUCUUAAGUGGUGAAGAAUACAAUAGGUCUAUGAGUUUGUGACACACUUUAAGAGAGGCCAUGAACAACUCAAAGAAGAGAGAUGGCGUGCACUGCAAUGGCUUUUAUGUGAAGGAUAUGUGCAGACAAUCAGAAGAACACAGUAAAUGUUACUGAUGAGGGUAUGUGCACAUAUCAGAGAUGAGGGAGGCUGCGCACCAGCGAAUAUC